UAAUUUAUUAAAGUUGAUGUAAGAGCUGCAAGGAGUCUUGGUAUAGGGGGCAUAUCGACCUCCUGUAGACAGAGACAGACACGGACCACUUGAAUCAUCGUCGGCCUUGGCAUAUAGAGAAUGGAAGAGUGAGGUUGAAUCCACUGACGGGGAAGGCGUUACUAUCCACUUGGAUUAAUUAAAUUCAGAUUUGGGUUACUCCCUCUAAUCCAAAAUAAGUGUUCGAAACUGUGACAUUUAUCUUAGACCGGAGGGAGUAUGUGCUAGCAGGAUCAUGCAAUGGUAUAUGAGAUCCAAAGCACACGAGGAGGACUCUGAAGAAUUGAAGUGGUGGACCAUGGUCAAGUCAAUCACCGAGUCUUCCACCCAGGCUACCUGCAGGGAGGGAAAGUAUAUUAGAUCUUUUCAGUAUUUCAGUGAGCUUUGGGAAGUGCUCACCGGACCACUCACCGACCCUCCUCACGGAAAUCACCUGAAUGAUCCAUGUUUUUCUUCGAAAAGGAGGAUGUUUUCACAAGCUCGAGUCGACCACAUCGCACUUUGAAAUGCACUUACAGAAAGCUGUUGGUUCCGAAGAAGAAGAGGGGUAAGCAUUUCUGUGGUCUCAUCCAGGAACAAAAGGAGGCACUGGAGAAUCUGACGAAGACACUCGAGAGCUGUAGCUGGCAUGUUGCCGAGUGCCACGGUGGUAUUUAGAUGCUGACAAAACUGAUGGCGUACAUCGCCAAAUUGUUCAGGGCGGACGGUUUCAAAGGCGAGCUCGAUGGCUGUAACAUCAGGGAAGCCCUUCUUAGAUCCACUGGACUCUGCCGGUUAAGCUUCAUGCUCGAGAGCCGCAAAUCCAACCAGGGCAAUGGACUGCUUAACACAGUUCAGGGAUUGGUUCUGGGAGAAGGAAUGCUAGGGGUUAAUUUUUGGGUCUUCGUCAUGGAAAGAACAACCUGAAGAAAUGUAGUCACUUCUUAUCUUGUGUCUGCCUUGUAAUUGAUUAUAGAAAGGAAAUGGGUUCUCUGA